GCGAGGGGGGUGUAGAACCAGUCGCUCUUCCAGUCAUCCCACUUUUUACGGAGGACGCAGGGGAUGUAGCGGUUCAACACCGGCCCCCGCGGCAGGAAAUAGCAGCCGCCGACCACCGACGGUGGCGAUACCGACUGCACGGUAAAGAACCACCGGAACAGCCGGAGAGAUGGGCGCACCCCAAUGAACAUCUCGCACAGGUGUGCAAAGAUGCCCAAUGUCAUCACUGCGUUGGGGGUAAGGUGCGCCAUCUGGAGAUCGUAGAACUCCAGGACAUCCAUGAAGAAAGAAGAAAAUGGCGGAACCAGCCCUGCCAUUGCGAAGGGGAGAAAGAAGACGGACCGCCCCGGGUAGUCUGGCGCCGGGCGUCCCUCACCCAGCAUUACUAUCUCACGGCCGGUGGCAGAUUCCGGCAUGAAGCGGCGCGGCAACCCAGCCUGCUUCUCGCUCACAAUGCGAGAAGGCGGCAGCACGCUACCAUCAAGCAGUGCGGAGCCCCGUGCCAUGGCGCCGGACGAAGAGAAGAUGAAGAGCGAGCGCGUGUGGCGAAAGAAGGGCGCAGGGAAGAAGGAGUUAGGACGCAAGCGGCGAAGGCAAGGGAAAUGAUGGCGAAAGGAAGGAGACAAAUCCCAUCCUCAGUGCCUUUAUACCCUUGCCAACGCUGUGCCCGGCUCCUCGUUUCUCGCGCCCAUUAUUUCGCCCCCUCGUUUCUCGCGCCCACGCUUCCACUAAUCCCAUUCGCCCGCUUGCGGCGCGUAAGAUGGAUAUGCGGUUGCGGCAGUCGAGAUAGAUCGUAUCGUGCGCGCGUUAAUUACGCUCGCCGACCGAAGCGACAUUACCAUAUCUCCAGGCGAGGCAAAUCGGCUCGCCCAGAUUCGUGCGCCGCUCAGGUGAUGUGGCAGUCUUGAAGAGACCGCCCAUUAUUGACAGCCAAAUUACCAUUACCGGUGUGCAUGGUUUGAGACCGUUGGGUUUUUGCCCAACCAUGGAGACCGGUCCCAUCUGUCACCAGGCUUUAGGAGUGGCGUCACGCCCGGCCGCUUCCCAUAAGAAGGGCGAUCGCCCUGGCAUAACGCCGGGGGCUACUGUCGGUGACAUGGGACCGGGAGUAUCAUGACUCGAGGCUUGAGGCAGACACAAUCGCCCACGUGGCCUGGCACCCUCGGGGGACGUCGGGCCCGAGGGUGAUGUGCGCGCCCACCUCUUGGUCUUCCCAAGGGGGGGGGGUCGGACCACUCCAGCCUCGCCCCCGAGGGCCGAGGCGCCCCGACCCCUCGCGUUUUCUGCUCCACGUGUAUGGGUUAGGUGAGCACAGCAGGGCUCACCUAACCGCAUUUAUUGCGCCUCGGCUAAGCGUGUCACGCCGCACGAAGUGCAGUGCAGUGCACUCGAUUAUCCGGUCUGUGACCAGUCACAGACCGGUCAAAUCACGGGUUAGGUGGCGACAGGCGGUCAGACGCAUGCUACGCCCCAUCCUGUCUAGACGAGAGCUUCUAGGCACUCGUCCCCGGCUGGAGCUGGCGUGUUACAUCCCAGAGAUGACACGUUAGCCCCGAUCGAUAUAUGCCAGGCUUCAUCCUAACCAUUACAAGCAAGAUGUUGUUUGAAGAAGGGCAAACAUGCACGUUGCUGAGCCGACGUGUGGUGGACAAGAAUGACCGAUUUGUGACCGGUCUGACACUGCUCAUGUCGUCAGCACACAGCCACCUUCCCACGACGUGCCCGCCUCAGGCAGAAGUGGAGGUAGGUAUGUGCCGUCCCGUCAGGAGGAUGUUCGGAGGACGACCGUGCAAAUCUCCGUCCAUUUAUGAAAAGAAGAAAAGUCCAGUUUGGAAAGGGAGGGGUGCAUGUGGUAUCCCCUUGAAGUAUAAAAGGAGGACCUUGCCCAUAGAGAAAGGGUUGGAUGCUUUCCAGAUUCAGAGCCUAGAACGAGGGAGAGGUCGGCUCACACUUUGUAGCUCAUUCAUACACAGAUCCACCAAAACACAGGAGUAGGGUAUUACGCUUCUCAGCGGCCCGAACCUGUAUACAUCGCCCGUGUCUCGCGUUUCUUCCUAGCUGGCGAUCUUUCCACAUACCGAGAGAGCUUGAGAUUUCACCCUAAGCCCCCGGCCGAACCGGCAAAGGGGGGCCUGUGCGGUCUCCCGGUGAGGAGCCACGAGCUCCGUCAGUCCUUCGGGCACGCCUUGUUGAGGUCUGUGAAAUCGACACACAUGCGCCAUUUGCCAUUCGAUUUCCGCACCAGUACCGGAUUCGCCAGCCACUCGGGGUGGUCGAUCUCCUGGAUCACCCCAGCCUUGAGCAGCUUUUGGACUUCAGCUUUCGCUGCUUCUUGGCGAUCAGUGGAUAUCUUGCGUAGCUUCUGUUUUCUUGGCUUGGCAUUCGGCUUGACCGCCAGGUGAUGCAUGAUAAGGUCUGUCGAAACACCUCCCACCUCAUCGGGGCCCCAGGCGAAGAUGCCAAUGUUUUUCUUGAGCACCUCUAGGAUGUUCUCAACUUCUCUUUUGCCCAUGUCGCCCCCCAGCAAUACAAGCCUUGUGGGAUUGGCAUCGUCGAUCUACAUCUUGAUUACCCUGCCGUGAGGGGCGGGCUUCGGCGCGUGCUUCGCCCGGUCAUGCGGUUCGGCCUCAACAUUGCACACUGCUCCGUUGAUUACGGCCAAAUCGCCCUUCGAUGUAGCCGAAGGUUGAAGCCCCUUGACCAUGAUCAUUCCUGCAGGGCCAGGCAUCUUGAGCUUGAGAUAAUUGUGGUGGGAGAUGGCUUCAAACUUGUUUAAGGUCGCACGGCCGAAGAUGGCAUUGUAGUUGUACGGGAUGUUGACAACGUCGAACAGUAUUUGCUCUUCGCAUCUGUUUUCGCUUGUGUCGAAGGCUACCAUCAAUUGCGCUUGGCCUAGGAUUUGAACUGCUUCUCCGCCGAAACCUCGAAGCGAGGCCUGUGCUGGGGUAAGGGCUAGGGUAGGCAACCCCAUCUUGGCGUAUGCUUCGGCGAAGAUGACAUCGGCCAAACUCCCUCCGUCGACUAAGAUUCGCCGGACUUCGAAGCCAGCUAUUUCGGCCAAGAUCACCAGGGGGUCUUGAUGUGGGAACAUCACUCCUUGGUCAUCUUCUGGUCCGAAGGAGAUCUGCUGGUUCAAAUAUUGCGGGGCCCCUUCGCCCGCCGAAGUGAUGUUGUGCACCAUUCGCAGCUGCAUCUUCUUUUGCCGUUUUGACAGUUGAUUCGGCGGGUCGGCCCUUGUAAUCACCUGGAUUACUCUGCGCUGCACAUCUUGGCGCUGUUCGGCCGGGGGUGCCUGUUCUUGAACGGCUUCGCAAGGUGCUUCAACAGCUGCUCCUGGUUGCGGCCUUGGGUCUUUCCUAACCUUCUUGCGAACGGGCUGCUGAUGGCUGCUUGCCUGCUGGGCGUUGAACUCCUUGCGGAGAGCUUGAACUUCUUCGACAACCAUCACAGCCUUGCCUGCAUGGUCAGUUCUGAAUUUUCUCCAAGUCAUGGGGGCUUGGCCUUGCCUUGGCGGUUGACCUUGGUUCGCCGGCUGAGGCUGGCGAACAGUGAGAGGAGCCGGUUCGACGACUUGGGCUUGUACUUGGGCUUGAGCAGCGGCGACAGAGGCUUUAUCAUACUCAGCCUGGAUUGCCUGCCAUCGCUUGAAAUCCUCUUCGCCCCUUGCGUACUGUCACACCCUGAAAAUCUUAAAUAUAUAAAUUGUUGAUUAAUUGGAAUUUUUAGAAAUUAUUUAAAAAAAGCCUACAAGCUAAACCCUAAUUUUCUAGGAAAAUUUUCAACAUAAAAAUGAGCUAGAUAAAAUUUUAUUAAAUACUAUGCUUGCUCCUCUAUUUUCUAGAAUUUUCUGGGAAUUAUUUGAGCAAGGGAAGUAUUUUUAAUAAUUGAAACAACAUUUCAUAAAUUGUUUUAUUCAAAAAAGUUCAAAAGUUCCCCCUUCUUGGUCCUUGGGCCGUUUUCGGCCCAGUCUCUCCCUUUUUCUCUCUCUUCCGCGCGCGGCCCACGCCGGCCCAAGCCGCUGCCGCCCGCGUCUCUCUCGCGGAGGCUGACAGGUGGGGCCUACCUGUCAGAUUCGUCUCCCACCUCCGGCCGGCCGCCGCCGAGCCGAACCCUAGCGCCGUUUUGCGCCAUCGUUUCCGCCCAAAUCCGAGCCCAAUUCCUUCGAUUGAUUGAGGGGUUUUGUUCCUCUCGGUCUCCUCUUUCUUUUCCCCCAAGAAUCAAAGAAAUCCGUUGCGAUUUGGAUUCGAAUCGAGUUCGUUUGUUUUUUAUCCCUAAAAACCGAGUUUGAUUUCUUCCCGAUUCGAUUCCUCCCGUUUGCGGCUUGAUCUCUUCAAUCCGAGCUCAUAUAAAGCUUCCUCGUGUUCUCCUCUUCCGUUUGCCCCCUUUCCCGUGCUCUCCCGUGCCCCGUAGCGUCGCCGCCGCGUGCACGAAGUCCGCCGCCGCCGCCGGCCAUCUUCGGUCGCGUCGCGCCGCCGUCUCCGCCGUCGCCUUUGGUCGCCGCCACCGCCGUUAGGUGCGCCGUGGUGUGGAGAAGCUCGGCCGCCCCUCCGUUUUCGCCGCCGACCAUCGGAGCGCCGCCGUCGCCGCUAACCCGAGCCGCCGCGCCGCCUUUGCUCGUCGCCGGCCGCCGUCGUGCACCGUUUGCCGUAGUGGUGAGUACCAACGGGUUCGCCUCGUUGCCCUCUACGCGUAGGUGGUCUCCAAUCCCGCCGCCGUUGUCCCUAGCGCCGGCGAGCUCGUCGACCCGAGCCGGCCGUCGUGCUGACGUCAGCAUGACGUCAACCCUAGGGCUGACGUCAUCAGGGUCAGGGCUGACGUCAUCUCUCUCUUUUUCUUUUUUCUCGAUUUUCUAAUAGAUUAAAAAUUUGGAAAAUCAUAACUAAAUAACCGUAGAUCCGUUUUAGGUGGUUCAAGUUUCUAAAUUUUUCUAAAAUCAAGAUCUACAUGUUAAAAAUAUUCACAUGUACUGUUUAUGCUUGUUUUUGUACUGUUUUGUUGAUUUUGUUUAUUUGCUUUAGUUUCCGUCGUUCCGGAGGAGAGCGUUUCUGUUGAGGAAGGUUCCGAAGCGUUUGUGGAAGCCCAAGGCAAGUCACACAGAUCCCAAACAACCCUUUGAGCAUGUUGAUCCCGUUUAAAGCUAUUAUUUUAUUUCAACUAUGCAUUGUUUUCGAAUGUUAUCGGGUGGUGAACCUUUCCCAAUUAAAUUAUGGCCGAAGAUGACUUUAUUUUCCUAUGGGUUAUAAUUUGAUUAGCAUGAACCUUAUAUAUUGGAUUGGUUCGGCUAAAUGCUAUAUAUAGGUUUGCUUAGCCAUGCUUAGAAACAUUAGCUAACUAAAAGGGGGUAAAUAUAAUUAAAUUACAUAAUUAUUAUUUAAUUAUGGUUAUAUUCAAUGGUAGCUCACGAUGGUUGAUCGUGUGAUGUUAAUUAUUUGAUAAUUAAAACCUGGCUAAGGUGGGUUGUGAGCAUAUGGUAUUGAUGGUUGUGCUCAUGACAAUUAAGGACCGGUUCGCGAGCUACUGUUGUGAAACAUUUAUCGUGCCAACCACAAGCCAGCGUGGGCAACGGCUUUAUCUUUUGUAUAGUAUGAUUCAUUAUAGUGUGCCAGACUGAGAAGUGGCGAGAAGUCCAUGGGGGUCGCUGGGGAGUCCAUGCCUUGUUUAUAAGGGGGUGAUUAUGAUCCAGGAAAGGUGCACUGUGGUGAGUUGUGUUAUGCAAGGGAUAUUGUCACAAUUCCUUUCCGAGAUACCGUGGUGGUAUUGAGGCACAUGGUAACAUGAUGUGGGGUUGUGUCUUGUGGGUACAGUGGUACACCUCUGAUCAGAGUUUAAUCUAUUCGAAUAGCCGUACCCGCGGUUAAGGGUAAGUUGAGCAAUGUUUUUCGUGAUUAGUCUCACACUACUCAUUAAUGGUAAUAAUGUGUUAAUUAAUUUAAUUCCUGGUUUGGAAUGGCAAAUUCCUGGUUUGGAGGGUUAAUUUGUUCAACUGGGGUUGGUUGUUCAAAGGUGGUUGGGCCUAUGCAACACGGGUGUGUUGUAUAGUGUUUGUUUAAUACUGAUUAAUUAUUCAACUGUUUUACUGUUCUCUUAAAUAUUUAUUAAAUGCUGUUUCUGCAAAUGAGCUAUAUUAUGCCAUCCUUUGUUAUCCUGUGCACUUGCAUAUUUGCUGUGUGGCUUGUUGAGUAUGUUAUAUGCUCAUUCUUGCAAUAUUCAUUCAUCAGAAGAGGAGUUUUUCAGUGAAGGUGAUGAUCUGGAGGAAUAGGCUUGUUCUUGGUUAAGUUGCCUGUGGAGUGGAGUUGCCAUAGCUGUUCCGUCGUUUGUUAUAGUUUUAUCUUUCCGCUGCGUAGAAUGUUAUUUUUCUUUGAGAGGAACUAUCCACCUCUGUAAUAAUUUAUUAUUUGCGAAUAUUUGAUAGUUAUUUGUACUCUAUUAUCAAUAUUGUCAUUGUGUGCCUCGGUUGAUUCCUGGACGAGGGCUUAACACACAUGUAAGCGUUUGGAAUUUUGGAUAGAAAUUCCGGGCGUGACACGUACCCGUCAAUGAUGCGAAGUAGGUGCUCAAGCGUUUGCGGCUCUUUGUUGGCGAUUUUUCUUGUGAGUUUGCCCUCGAGCAGCCCGGCCGAAGCGGCGUUGAUGACGGACGCCUCAGUUAUGUCCUGCACUUGACAUCGGGCUUGCGAGAAGCGACGCAUGUACUCCCUUAUCAAUUCCCCAGGCCUCUUGCGAAUACCGAGUAGAUGCUGCUGCGUCUUCGGCUCCUCGUAGGUGCCUCGAAAGUUAAGGACAAAGACAUCGCGCAAUUGCUUCUAUGAGUAAAUGCUGUUAGCUGGUAAAUUGAAGUACAAAGAACGGGCGAUGCCGUCUAGAGCGAGAUGUAUUACCUUCGCCUUGGUAUUUUCGUCUCCAUGAGCGGCUUCGAUCGCGGACUCGUAGAUGGACAAGAACUCUUUUAGAUCCGUUUCGCCCGAAUAGCGUGGGACGGGUGGGAACUUGAACUGGGGUGGGAUUGGACGGAUCUUGAUUCCCCCACUCAGUGGUAGCCCCUUUUCGCCCCCCGCCCUGUUCGCGGCACCUUGCUGUGGAUAUGGCGUGGCGAAGGGCGAGGUCAUGGCUUGCGCAUGCGGCUGGGCCACAGUGUUCGGCUGCCUAGCCCUGAUCGGUGAUGCUUGGUGGGCCGCCAUGGAUGGGUCGAACGUCGGCUGGGUCCAUGCCAUGGUGACCUAGUUUGGUUCUUGGUUUGCUCCAAAGCCUAGUGUUGGUGCCUAUGGCCGAACGGUUGGUGCUUGAGCAGCGUUGGUGAAGUCGAAUUGUGGUCCUUAACUCCAAGGCGAAGCCCCCGGACCAGGCUGAUUCGACGGCAACCAAUUGGGUGCACCUUGACUCGUGUUCCUCUCCGGCUGGGCCGAGGGGGCUGUUCCUGAAAUGCUGUGGGGUUGGCUGAGAUGCUGAAGGAAAGCUUGAAGCUGUGCCUGCAAGGCCGAAGCCCCUUCUGCCAUUGCUUGUGACAUUUGGCCAAGUGGUGGAGGAUGUACUUGGGCAGCGACCGGCUGAGCUUGCGGCUGCACAUGAGGGGCCGGUUGCAUUGCUGUGGUUGGAGGCUGCCCAGUGAAGUAUACUGGCAUUUGCAUGGCUUGUGGCGGAUGGGGCUGGAUUGGUGCUUGCGGGUAGACUUGGGGUGGGAUGUAGCCCGCCGAAUACUGGAGGAUUGGAGCCGAAGCGACCUUGGCCUGCCUCGCCGUCUUAUACGCCUGCUGCUGUUCUUGCAUCUGACGAACCAUGUCUUGGAGUCGCGUCAUGUUCCGGCGCAUGGCCUCCAUGUCGGCUUCGACAUGUGCUUAGAGGUCGGGGUUGACUUGUGCGGCGGCGAGCGCGGUCGAAACCGUUGCCGGCUAUGACGAAGCGGCUUGGGGCACCAGCAGCUGGCCUGUCGAAAGGGUCUCCGCCCUGGUCUGGAGCGCGCUAGCCGCUGCGGCUGCCUUCGCCGCGUCGACCGUGUUCGGUACCUGCCCCGACGAGGCAGCAGGAGCUGAAGACGGUGGUUGUGGCGCGGGUGCUGAAGCCGAUGGGGCUCCCCUAUCUUCGGCGAUUGGCGCCGAAGGCUCUGCUCCAUCUUCGGCGGCCAUCUCCCCUCCUACUUCGCUCGCCUUUCGCCUGGUAACCUUCUCUUUCACGACCCUCUUUGGUAGCAUUCGCUCUCAGUGGUUUCGCUCGGAGGUCCCUACGGUCGGCGCUAGCUGUUGUCGAAACGACAACCGCAUACGUCGAAAGAGGUAGUUACUCAACAGUGGUUGGAAAACAGUUAUAGUGUAUUGAAUUGGGAUUUUUUUCUUGAGAUCCCCCUAUUACAUGGCCCUAGGGGGCUAUUUAUAGCCCCAUUACAGGUUCCCACUACUAGGGUUUAGGUUAUACAGGGGAAUUUACAUGGUUACCCUUAUGAUAGGGACAUUAUGGAGGGCAAAUAGCUCGGCCCAUCUAUCUGGCGAAAUCCCCCGAGGGCGUAAUGGCCCACCAAGCCUCCCGUCAACGGGGUUUGGUGCUAUGGCGAAGCCCGUGCCUGUGUGCCGAGGCUUUCGCCACAUCAUCUUCGCCCGUGCCGCCUUCUGGCGAGAACUCCACUCGGCGAAGGUGGUGUUACCCCAGUCACGGCUUUCGCCCGUAUGGCUUCACUCUUGUCCUUCGCCGCCCACCUUCGGCGUGAGCCUGUUGCUUAAACUUUUUGGUUUCGGCAGGUUCAGCCGAAGGCCCUCCGUGGCAAGCCUCCAACAAACACAAUUCCCGGCAUAGCAAGAAUAUAUGCUUCGGGAGGCAUGCAUUCUUAUUUUGCGGAGAUAUGUACUCCUUUGAAAAGAUUGGAAUGGUGGUGAAGAAUAGUGAAUCUGCCUUUACCUGCCAUAACUAUUUCCUGAGAUACAGAACAAUAAGCUCUGUUUGAUGAGUGACCUGAACUAUUGUGCUAUAUAUUAAAAUAUAUUAAACCAACAAAAAUAUGAAUAUUAAUAUCUGAAAUGGUAAUUAUGUGAUUUUUAAAUUCUAUUGUAACAAAAGGGCAUUUGACUAGUAAUUGAAAAACACACAACAACUAGCAUGUGAAAUUCUUUGAACACCUCGAGGCUCACUGGAAAAGCAGACAAAAUCAUUCAAAUGUCCAUGUUAUUUUCAUUUAUUCAUACGAACAACCAAACACUAUUCCAAAUUUCCAUUACGUGACACACACGAUAAUGUGCGACACUUUAUUUAUCAAAGUAUAUAUGCUAGUACACACUACCAAGAACCGCAACGACUAGUAGCAACGAUACACGGAGUGUUGCAGUACCUAGGGUAGACACCACACAUGGAGGGUAAGUUGAGAGCCACCUGGGCCUGGGCCUGAGCUUGGGGCACACCAAAUAAGCUAGCAUCUAAUUGCACCUGUUGCAUGAUCGCCUGCACCAUGGUGAAAAUAGCCUGGCAGCGAUAUUGCUGCGCCAUCAGCCUCAUCCGCCGACAGCAUUGUUGUCGCAUCACCUGGCAGCUGCUCAGUUUUAGCCUGUGUGACUGCUCCCAAGGCAGGCUCACUGGGCUGCACUGUCGCCUCACGAACUCAUUGCACGAGUUCAUGAUCGGUUGCAUGAACGGCUGCUGUUGGCUUUGCCCAUAGGUGCAAGCAUCAAACUGUGCUGAGGCGCUGCUCGCUGCGAGGGCGAGGAGAGAGAGGAUGACAAAGAUCUUUAUAGCUAUGAGAUUGAUGUUAGAGAACUCUUAUACCGUUUUGAUGUUUGUGAUUUUUCCAUAAGGAUAAGGAGCAUCUUUGAUAUAGUUCAUUUGUAUUUAUAGUGGGGAUAGCAUGAUCUCUACGCUCAAGACAUCGGUUGCUUUUGGUUUUGUGCAAUUUGUGUUGUUUCUUGUGUGCAUCUUGGGGUUGCUUGUAUUCAUAUGCCUUUUAAUAUGAUCAUUUGGGAUGUUGUGCUAGGUGGAGGUACACAUACUUGGACAUGCCAUCGUCAAAGGUACUUUAGUAACUAUCUCAUCUUAUUGUUAUCAGUUUUUGAUUAUAAAUAUGAGUCAUUACUCACUUUACAUGUCAUAUUUUUUUAUCUAGAUACAUUGUUUUGUGAAAUGACGUUUUGUAACGUUAGGUAGGUAGUGUUUAACUUCAGAAUACACAUAUCUGUUGUACACUCAAAAGAUUUUCUGACACUUAAGUAUGGAUCAACUCCAAGCUUUAGUUUGUCAUUUUGGGCUUUGGAACACGAGAUGACAUUCUUCCUUACUUCUGUAGCAAUACACCAGCCUUAUAAAAACGGAUUUGACCAAAAAGUUUUUGAAACUCCAAGCUCAUGCCACUAUCAGAUUUUGAUCCUUACAAACGAAGUUACUUCAGUUCCACCUAUUUGUAAUAUUAUUUAUAAAUUGAAGAUAUGUAUGUCCACAACGUGACACAAAAUACAAAUUCAAUUUCACAAAAGCAUUGCCCCCAUAAUAAACCUUUUGAUAUGUAAAGUGGAAUUGAUGAGUCAUAAACUAAAUCGGUUCCUCAGAAAGGACAUAACGCACACACUACAGCAGAACAAGCUAGCAGUGACGGGCUCAAACCCUCUUCUGUGACGGAUAGACUCCCUCGUCACAGAUCAAUGGUCACUGAUGACUUAACUCACCUUUGACGGGUGUAGGUCCGUCAGAGGUGACAAACACCUUUGACGGGUUGUGUCAUGUGACCCGUCACAGAUGAGAAAAAUCACCCAAAAAAAAAAGGAAAAAAGAGCCACAACCACAGCUCAACACCCGUCACUGAUGUAGAUUUCGAUAAAAAAAAACAAAAAAAAAGUGCUUCUGGGUAGUUGCCAUCGCAUUCAUCACACACAACAUUUCAUCACACAGAAAAGUCUUCACGAACAUUUCAUCACACAUAAAACAGCCAUGGCAAGCAAGCAAUUCAUCAAUCACCUGACGAGCAACAAAAACGAAGGGAAUAAAUGGUUGUGGGUUUUGCCGGGCAGGGCUUCUUCAUACCACGGUGGGCUUGAACUCCUUGGCGCACUAGACCUUCUUGAGCUCGGCCUGGAGGCGACCUUGCUCCUCCUCCUUGCGGAUGACCUCGUCCCUAUUACUGCUCCUCGACGCCGCCCUCUUCGCCUUCUGCACCCGGAAGCAGCCGACGGGGGAAUCUGCAGUUCUGCACUCGUCAGUUGGGGACGCAGCCGGCGGACGGAGGAGACGACGCCCGGUGGCCGGAUCCGCGUCCCCUGACCUUGUGGAGGACGGAUCUAGCGCCAGGCGGUCGGAGGUGGCGCCCGUCAGUUGGGGGAUGGAGGUGGCCCCCGGCGGUCGGGGAUGGAGGCCGCGGCGCCGCCGUUCACCUCCUCCUCGCCUCCUCACCGCUGCGUCGAGCCGUCGCACCGCAGCACCGCCGCGCGCCGUUGAGAACUCCACGCCGCUGCCACUUCAAGAAAAACCGGAUUGAGAAAUAAGAGAAGGGAGAGGAGGGGAGAAAGAAGGGGGAGGAGGAUGGGGGUACCACCGAUUUUGUAGUCCCUGCGUGUAGUCUGGGGGCUAUUAUAGCCUGAUUUAUGUAGGGACAAUCGGAAAAUUUAAAAUAGCUAGCCUUCGUCACAUGCCCUCGUUUGACUACACUAGUCAAUCCAACUGUGAAAGAAAUUUGGGUACGUGGCCCGCACCGUAGUUAACCCAGCUUACCGCGAUUAAAGAUUCUAGACUAGGCAUCAAGCAGUGCUGCACAUGCUAUAUAUUUUAAUUUAUCAAUAUCAACUUGGUAUUUAUUAAUUUAAAGAUUAGAAUCAUUAUAUUAUAUUUCAGAUUAGAAACUGAGCACUUUACUGUAUUUAUGUUUGAAAUUAUUAAAUCAUCAUAAAAACGAUUUGAGACUCUAGAUCAAGUACAACGCAUUAUUAAUUAAUUACUUUUUAGUAAUUCUAAAUUUAAGAAUGAUUAAAUUAUAAAAAUAGAAUUACGGCUUCAAACCUUAUUUGCUAAUUUUUAAUUUUAGAACUAUUAAAUCGUUUAAACUAAGAUUGAGACUCUAGAGCAAGUGCAAUUUGUUGUUAGUUUAUUAAUUCUGAAUUUUAUAAUUAUUGAGUCAUAGAAAAAAAAUCCAAACCUGGUAUAACUGCAUAUUUAUUCAUUCCAAUGGAUAAGUCUAUAUAUUGUGUGAUAGAAGAUCUUGACUGUGGACACAUUUGAUUUCAUCAUUUUUGUAUUAACGUUAUUUCUAGCUCUUUUGAUUAGUGAUAAUUUCUAGCUUUCUACCUAUGGUAGGAUUAAAGUGGGGUUUCUAGUAUGACCCUCAAUUAAUAUAUAAAGAUUGACUGUAGUAUGACUUUAUCACUCUAUUAAUAUGAAUGCUAAAUUUAAUCUUCAAGUGAAAUUGUGAAGGGUAAAGGUAUUUUGAUAAUGUUAUUUCAUGGGGUUAGACAAGUUGAUUGGCAGAGUGACGGUCGCAAGAAGAAGAAGUAUCAACUAGCUAAGAGGGAUAUAAUGUGCCGCCAAAAAGAUCGGGGGGGGGGGGGUUAGGAAUUCAUGAUCUGCAAGUAAAGGAUAAUGUGUUAGUUAGUAAAUGGCUUCAUAAGUUGCUUACAACUAGUGGUAUGUGGCAACAAAUGAUACGCAAUAAAUAUUUGGGAUUUUAGCAUUUAUCACAAGCCCUAUUGAAAGAUGGGGAUUCACAUUUUUGGGCUAGCUUUAUGAAGGCCAAAUAUGAUUUUUCUCCAAUGUGGGUCCUUCAUAAUUAAAUAUGGCUCUCAAAUUAGAAUUUGGGAAGACAAAUGGUUAGGCACUGCAACCUUGCGGGAUCAAUAUCCCUUCCUAUAUAUAAUAUUGUUAGGCAUAAAUAAUCAACCAUUUUAGAGGUCUUCCAAACAUACCCAUGGGCUUGAUUCGCUCAAAAUUAGUGGCGUGGAGCAACUUGUUACCCCGUAUCGCUAAUAUUAUGUUAACAUAGGAUCAAGUUGAUUUUCACUGGAGUCUCUCCCCAAAUGGCAAGUUCUCCAUUAAAUCUUUCUAUCUAGCUCUGGUUCAUAAUGGUGUCCCAAAUAUAAAUUAGCGAGGUAAUAAGAAAUGUUGUUUUUUGUCACAAAGAGAAGGCAAUUAAACAUUUAUUCUUCCAAUGCCAUUUUGCUCAUCCAUUGUGGUCUAUUAUUCAUAUAGCUUCAAACAUAUGUCCACCGCGUAGUGUUUCACGUUUGUUUGGGAGUUGGUUGUUGCCACUUUCCAAAGAUAUGAGACCUCAAGUCCUGCUAGGAGCGGCCACCAUGUGUUCAGGGGCGGAUCCAUGAACAAAAAAUUGGAGGGGCUUAAUUAAACAGUUUCUUCAACCUCCAGCCAUCUAGGGACCUUUAGUUUAUCAUUCAUAGUGAAAAAAUUGAAGGGGGUGCUCCGGGAGGUAUCUAUGGGUCUUGUGGGUGUAGGGGGGACUCGAGCCCCCCCUGCACCCACGUUGGAUCCGCCCCUGCAUGUGUUGGUCCCUAUGGUUAUGCAUGAAUGAUGUGGUUUUUACAAGAAAAAUAUUUAUUCUACCAGGUUGAAAAGGGAAAGAUAAUAUUAUACCACAUGAAAAAUACUAGUUUUCACGGUUGAGUGGGGUACAUGCUUUAAUACCUUUUUUUUUCUUUUUGUGCGACUACUAUACAUAAGAAUGAAUAGAAUUCCAAAGCAUAAGGCUAUCGACCGCAGCAAGUUGAAAACAUAAAGAUAAUAUUAUACCACCCUGGAAAUACUAGUUUAUGCAGUUGAGUGGGUCACACGUUUUAAUACCUCUUUCUUUUUAUGCGGCUACUAUAGAUAUGAAUCAUAGAGAAUUCCAACAUGUGAGACUAUCGACCGCUACCAAGUUGAAAAGAGAAAAGUAAUAUAUAAUACGAAAAAUACAUGUUUGUGUGGUUGAGUGGGGACACGGUUUAAUACCUUUUUCUUUUUACGCGACUACUAGAGAUAAGAAUGAUAGAGAAUUCCAACCUGUGAGGUUACCGACCGCUACCAGAUUAAAAAGAGAAAUAUAAUAUACAACACAGAGUUUGCAUGGUUGAGUGGGGGCACAUGCUUAAAUACUUUUUUUUCUUUUUACGCAACUACUGGAGAUGCAUAUUGUCGAAGAAUUCCAACGUCUGAGGCAACCAACCGCUACCAGGUUGAAAAGGAAAAGAGGAUAAGAACAAGUAAAAUACGAAUUUGCGCAGUUAAGUGGGUCACAGACAUUAAUACUUUUUUCUUUUUGCGUGGCUAUUGAAGAGAGUAACAAAAUGUGAAAGAAUUCCAACGUGUGAGGCUACUGAUCACUACCAGGUUAAAAAGGGGAAGAGGAUAUGCAACAAGCAAAAUACUAAUUUUCAUGCAUUUUUUCGCGACUACUGGAGAUACAAAAUGUCAGAGAGAUACAUAAUGUUGGAGAAUUCCAAUAUGAGAGGCUACCAACCACUACUUGGUUGAAAAGGAAACGAGGAUAUACAACACGGAAAAUACUAAAUGUGUGGUUGCAUGGUAUAAAUGUUUUAAUAUUUUUAUCAUCUGCUUAUGUAACAUGGAUUAUUGUUACGAUUGUGCACCCUGUGCGGCAUUGGGCUUAGAGAUGCCAGCUCAUUGUUUUUAAAGUGAUUUUGAAUAUAAAUAUAUAUAUUUGAACAAAUUCACAUUAUUUAGGUUUUUCAACAUAAAGUUUUCUUGCAAAUUAUUGUUUUUUAAAUUGCUAAAAUAAUAUCGCAAGCUUUUGGAUAAAAAACUUUCUAAUGUAUCUGUAGUAUAAAUUUAGUGUAACUACAUUGUAACUAUAGUAUAAUUACACUAAUGUUAACUUAGAUAUGAAUUUACAUGAUUUUUAUAAUCUGAUACAAGUUAUAAUGUAGUUAUAUUUGAAAGUUUUCCACUCAAAAAACUUGCGGCAGUUUUUCCAUAUCGUCAUAAAAUUUCCCAUUUUUAUAUGAGGGUCACAAAAAGUGUUUUUUCAAUUUUCUAUAUAAAUAUUUUAUCUUGCUAUAAAUAUUUUUAAGAGGAAACUGUUUAAUGGACAAAUUUGCUAAAGGGGGACUUCUUCUAUGUUUAUAGUGAGUUUUUUUCUAAUAACUCUUGCAGUAAGUUUCUUCUAAAAAAGUUUCUAUAAAAAGUUUUUGGGUAAUCCUUUUGUAUGAAAUUUCUGCGUUGGAAACUUAUACGUAAGUCACUAUCUAGUGCUUUGCAUGGAGAUAGCUAGUUAGCACUUUUGACAUGUGUAUAACUUGUGCACAUAUCACUACGCACACAUAUACGAAUGUUGCCUACACACAAUUAAAGAGAUAGAGAUCAACAUUAUAUCUCUGAUCUUACUGAAUUCCAAUUAAACAUAACUUUGAGUAUCUCAUCUUUUCAUUUCUACAAGAUCAGAUUAAUAUAUUAUAUUGAUUUGCUUCUCUUUCUUAGUAUGAAAACAAAAAAGAAUAAUAUGAUGAAAUUUGUAUGUACAGUAAAACCGAAAAUUAAUGCAGCCACUGGAUACCCACAAUGCCUGUUUGCUUCAACAAUUGGACAUGUUAUAAUUUUCAUUUAUUCAUACGAACAGCCAAAGACUAUUCCAAAUUUUAUUACAUGACACACACGAUGAUGUGUGACACUUUAUUUAUCCAACUAUAUAUAUAUGAUGGUACACACUACCAAGAACCGCAAUGACCAGUAGCAACUUUGCAUGGAGUGCUGCAGUACCUAGGGUAGACUCCACACAUGGAGGGCAAAUUGAGAGCCACCUGGGCCUGGGCCUGAGCUUGGGGCUCGCCAACAAAGCCAGCAUCAAACUGCACUUGCUGCAUGAUAGACUGCACCAUGGUGCAAAUAGCCUGGCAAUGAUAUUGUUGCGCCAUCAACCUCAUCUGCUGACAGCAUUGCUGCCGCAUCACCUGGCAGCUGCUCAGUUGUAGCCUGCGUGACUGCUCCCAAGGUAGGCUCAUCGGGCUGCACUGUUGCCUCACGAACUCAUUGCACGGGUUCAUGAUCGGUUGCAUAAACGGCUGCUGCUGGCAUUGCCCAUAGGUGCAAGCAUCAAACUGUGCCGAGGCGCUGCUCGCUGCGAGGGCGAGGAGAGAGAGGAUGACAAAGAUCUUCAUGGCUAUGUGAUGGAUGCUAGAGAACUCUUAUAACGUUUUGAUGUUUGUGAUUUUUCAGUAAGGGUGAGGAGCAUCUUGAUAUGGUGCAUUUGUAUUUAUAGUGGGAAUAGCAUGAUCUCUAUGCUCAAGGCAUCGGUUGCUUUUGGUUUUGUGCAAUUUGUGUUGUUUCUUGUGUGCAUCAUCGGCUGCUUGUAUUUGUAUGCCUUUUAUGAUGAUCACUUGGGAUAUUGUGCUAGGUGGAGCUACACAUACUUGGACAUGCCAUUUCAAAGGUACUUUACU
rnacentral:lncRNA from 1 species